UUGGUCGAUUGCUUUGCUUUGGGUUUUGUGUUGUGUCUGUGUGUUCUUGUUUUGACAGCUUUGAUGUGCGCGCCGUUUCACUCGGGUGCUCCUCCCUUCACUCAUCAUUCUCACCUGCGCCCGCACCUGAUGAGAAUUCUACACGUUGGUUACGACUAGCGAUCUCAUCUUCCUGUCUACGCGCAGCGGAGCUCGUCACAGUUGGAAGUUAGCGAGUGUCAGAAAUCAAGCAUCACCGCGCUGUCCCUUCGCCUGUCAGUUACAGCAGAGACUUUUUCACCCUGUCACCAAGCUGUGGAUACGUACAUGAUCUAGCAGAGAUUUUUUACCCUGUCAUUAGCAGCAGAGACGUUCAUCAUUCAGCAGAGAUUUUUUCACCCUGUCACCAAGCAGUGGAUACGUACAUGAUCUAGCAGAGAUUUUUUACCCUGUUUCCUAGCAGCGGAUAUAUUCACAUCUGAGCUCUCCAGCUAGACUCUUUACAUAUAUUUUACCCUGCUCUUCUAGCAGCGGAUCUCUUCUCUCUCUCUCUCUGUGUUUGGUGACUUUAUUAAAAACAUUGCAAUUGGA